UUCCUUUUUUCGUUUUCGUUCUCACUUCUCCCUCUCUGAGCUCUCUCCGACUCUGACUCUCCCUCUCUCGCCUCUCGGUCUCUCCGACAGUCCGACUUCUCCUUCUCUUCUCUUCUCUAGUUCUCCCAUCUGGAGUCUCCGACGUCUGCAGGAGGAACCAGUCGUCCGCGGGCCGCGGCCGUGGGCCACUUCAGCCUUCAGCCUUCAAGGUCAGCCGGCUGCUCCGCCUUCAGCUCAAGACUAGAUUUUGCCAGCAAAUGCAGUGUUUUGUGCAGUUCUUCCGUCAACAUAGAAAGUUAUGGCUUCGCCCAAUUUUUGAUUCUUGCUAGUUUCUUUCCGUCUAUUUUUAGAGGGAUGGAAGAACAGCUAGUCCUUCUUAAAGAUGAUAAUGAAACAAUCAAAGAAGGCAUACUGCUUGUUCUUGCAAAGGCUGGCGGAGCUAUCAGAAAUCAACUUCCAACACUAGACAGCUCUGUAGACCUACUGUUAGAGAAACUGUGCAUAGAAGACACAAGAAAGCAAGCAAAGUACUCUGUCCAAGCUCUCGCUGCAAUAACAAUUGGUGAUGGCCUCAAGUCACUCUCACUGCUUUACAAGUUCAGCAUCUUGUGGAUAUGCUAUAAAGGAAAGCAUCUACCAGCCAUAUUGCAAUCUUUGGGCUAUAUUGCACAAAUUGCCAUGCUAAUAUUUGAAACCAGGGAGGAGGAAAUUGUAGAGUUUCUAUCAAACAGAAUUUUGCCAUGCAGUGUGUGCACAGACAACUAAAUCUUAACUACAGAUAUUUGCUAUUAAGACCUUAGUGAAGAGUUACCUACCCACUGAAGAUGCUCUUCUGCGCACUGGAAUUGGAAACCUUUUAAAGUUGCUUAAAGAUAUACUUUCUUUUGGUGAAGUGUCCCAAACUAUGGAAUCGAGGUUUGCUGGCUUCAUCUCUCAAACUAUUUGCAUGUGAUAUUGGAUAUAUGUUGCAUAUUGUCUGCAACUUAUGCAGGUAUGGAAAUUUACUACUCAUUCUUGUUUUUCCAUCAGCAAUAUUGAUAAAGCCCAUCUUAGACUUGCUUCUGCAAAAGCAAUCCUUUGCCAGGUUGUCAAGGAUCUGGGACCACAAAAUACCAAAUGAUGUUUUCUUUUUUACUAUAAAAAUUUCACAGAUCAAUGGUUGUCAGGCUUUUGGUGAUAUCUUAAAUAUGCAAGAGUUCCAAUAACUGAUGGCAAAGCUCCCAAGAGUUCCGACUUUGAUACACUGGCUAUAAACAUUGCAUCUGCUCCAAAGAAUGCUGCAUGUGUUUUCAAUUGCCAGAUCGGUUAGGGGAGAACAAAUACAGGCACUGUUAUUGCUUGCAUUGUGAAACUUCGGAUUGACUAUGGAAGACCAAUUAGAGUUCCGCAUGAAGUAGUAUCUCAUGAAGAAAUUGAUAGUGGUUCUUCAAGUUGUGAAGAAGCAGGAAAUGAAAGUGCUCCAGGUGCAUUAGAGUCUAUGAGAAUGGAGCAUAAGGUUGCGGCCAGGGAGAUUCUUCAAUAUUCCAGAUCUAAUUUAUUAUUAGGUAAAUUGCCUUCUAUAUUGGAUGGUUCAGCAAUGGAGAAAGCUGAAAAUCAAGGUGACGCACUGGCCACUCUAGCACCUAAGGUGAGGUCAGAGGAGUCAUGGAUGAACUUUGAUCAGGAAGCACUGGUCUUGCAUAACAAGCUGGCCAGGUACCCGAACCAAAAUUCAAGUGGUUGAUAACAAUCUAAAGAUCAACACUGUAGACCUCAAGAUCAUUACCACAAUAGUUGGUAAUGACAGUAACUGCAAGCAUGAUGAAAAUCUCCCAGUGUUCCUGUGUGGGCCAGGUUUUAGAGCUACAACUUCCUGGAAAGAGGGCUGUAACCGCAAAAGAGUUUUGGAAUACGGUCAGCAACUGUUCAAGUCUCUGUAGCGGAAUUGCCAUUAUCUUUCUUGUGGCCAUUCAACACGAUUAAUUCAUUAGAAUUCUUUCUCAUGAAAGUUGGAUCCUUUUGUUCAUGUCAUUGUAACAGGAAUUGAUGAUUUUAUUUACUCAUAAUCCUCUAAGUGACAAGGUUUUUGUUGUAUUUACAAGUUUGAUUUUUAAUGGAAUGAUCAAUUGGUGCGAUAUCCUCAAAAA